GUAGGUAUAGUUUAACUAAAAACAUUAGAUUGUGAUUCUAAAGACAAAGGUUAAAACCCCUUUACCCACC
rnacentral:tRNA from 1 species